AUUGAACGCUGGCGGCAUGCUUUACACAUGCAAGUCGGACGGCAGCACAGAGAAGCUUGCUUCUUGGGUGGCGAGUGGCGAACGGGUGAGUAACAUAUCGGAACGUACCGAGCAGUGGGGGAUAACUAAUCGAAAGAUUAGCUAAUACCGCAUAUUUUCUGAGGAAGAAAGCAGGGGACCUUUGGGCCUUGCGCUGUUUGAGCGGCCGAUAUCUGAUUAGCUAGUUGGUGGGGUAAAGGCCUACCAAGGCGACGAUCAGUAGCGGGUCUGAGAGGAUGAUCCGCCACACUGGGACUGAGACACGGCCCAGACUCCUACGGGAGGCAGCAGUGGGGAAUUUUGGACAAUGGGCGCAAGCCUGAUCCAGCCAUGCCGCGUGUCUGAAGAAGGCCUUCGGGUUGUAAAGGACUUUUGUCAGGGAAGAAAAGGGCGGGGUUAAUACCCCUGUCUGAUGACGGUACCUGAAGAAUGAGCACCGGCUAACUACGUG
rnacentral:rRNA from 1 species